rnacentral:rRNA from 9 species
AAAUUGAAGAGUUUGAUCAUGGCUCAGAUUGAACGCUGGCGGCAGGCCUAACACAUGCAAGUCGAACGGUAACAGGAAGCAGCUUGCUGCUUCGCUGACGAGUGGCGGACGGGUGAGUAAUGUCUGGGAAACUGCCUGAUGGAGGGGGAUAACUACUGGAAACGGUGGCUAAUACCGCAUAACGUCGCAAGACCAAAGAG